rnacentral:misc_RNA from 1 species
GAUGAAGAACGCAGCGAAAUGCGAUAAGUAAUGUGAAUUGCAGAAUUCAGUGAAUCAUCGAAUCUUUGAACGCACAUUGCGCCCGCCAGCAUUCUGGCGGGCAUGCCUGUUCGAGCGUCAUUUCAACCCUCGAGCCCCCCCGGGGGCCUCGGUGUUGGGGGACGGCACACCAGCCGCCCCCGAAAUGCAGUGGCGACCCCGCCGCAGCCUCCCCUGCGUAGUAGCACACACCUCGCACCGGAGCGCGGAGGCGGUCACGCCGUAAAACGCCCAACUUUCUUAGAGUUGACCUCGGAUCAGGUAGGAAUACCCGCUGAACUUAAGCAUAUCCAAUAAGCGGAGGA